rnacentral:rRNA from 1 species
UGAGGAAUAUUGGGCAAUGCCCGCAAGGGUGACCCAGCAACGCCGCGUGGAGGAUGAAUGUCGUAAGAUUGUAAACUCCUGUUAGAGGGGAAGAAUAGUACCGGUUGGACCGGUAUAUGACUGUACCCUCAGAGAAAGCCCCGGCUAACUACGUGCCAGCAGCCGCGGUAAUACGUAGGGGGCAAGCGUUGUCCGGAUUUACUGGGUGUACAGGGCGCGCAGGCGGGAUAAAAAGUCAGUGGUGAAAUCCUACAGCUUAACUGUAGAACUGCCUGUGAUACUUUUAUUCUUGAGUUCGGGAGAGAGAGACGGAAUUCCAGGUGUAGUGGUGAAAUACGUAGAUAUCUGGAAGAACACCAGUUGCGAAGGCGGUCUCUUGGUCCGACACUGACGCUGAGGCGCGAAAGCGUGGGGAGCAAACA